rnacentral:rRNA from 1 species
AUUGAACGCUGGCGGCAGGCCUAACACAUGCAAGUCGAGCGGAUGAUGGGAGCUUGCUCCCGGAUUCAGCGGCGGACGGGUGAGUAAUGCCUAGGAAUCUGCCUGGUAGUGGGGGACAACGUCUCGAAAGGGACGCUAAUACCGCAUACGUCCUACGGGAGAAAGCAGGGGACCUUCGGGCCUUGCGCUAUCAGAUGAGCCUAGGUCGGAUUAGCUAGUUGGUGAGGUAAUGGCUCACCAAGGCGACGAUCCGUAACUGGUCUGAGAGGAUGAUCAGUCACACUGGAACUGAGACACGGUCCAGACUCCUACGGGAGGCAGCAGUGGGGAAUAUUGGACAAUGGGCGAAAGCCUGAUCCAGCCAUGCCGCGUGUGUGAAGAAGGCCUUCGGAUUGUAAAGCACUUUAAGUUGGGAGGAAGGGUUGUACGUUAAUACCGUGCAAUUUUGACGUUACCGACAGAAUAAGCACCGGCUAACUCUGUGCCAGCCGCCGCAGUAAUAC